CAGCAGCCGCGGUAAGACAGAGGAUGCAAGCGUUAUCCGGAAUGAUUGGGCGUAAAGCGUCUGUAGGUGGCUUUUCAAGUCCGCCGUCAAAUCCCAGGGCUCAACCCUGGACAGGUGGUGGAAACUACCAAGCUGGAGUAUGGUAGGGGCAGAGGGAAUUUCCGGUGGAGCGGUGAAAUGCAUUGAGAUCGGAAAGAACACCAACGGCGAAAGCACUCUACUGGGCCGACAUUGACACUGAGAGACGAAAGGUAGGGGAGCAAAUGGGAUUAGAUACCCCCGUAGUCCCUGUCUCUUAUAA
rnacentral:rRNA from 1 species